AACGAACGCUGGCGGCAGGCUUAACACAUGCAAGUCGAACGCAUCGCAAGAUGAGUGGCAGACGGGUGAGUAACGCGUGGGAACAUACCCUUUUCUACGGAAUAGCUCUGGGAAACUGGAAUUAAUACCGUAUACGCCCUACGGGGGAAAGAUUUAUCGGGGAAGGAUUGGCCCGCGUUGGAUUAGCUAGUUGGUGGGGUAAAGGCCUACCAAGGCGACGAUCCAUAGCUGGUCUGAGAGGAUGAUCAGCCACAUUGGGACUGAGACACGGCCCAAACUCCGACGGGAGGCAGCAGUGGGGAAUAUUGGACAAUGGGCGCAAGCCUGAUCCAGCCAUGCCGCGUGAGUGAUGAAGGCCUUAGGGUUGUAAAGCUCUUUCGCCAGGGAAGAUAAUGACGGUACCUGGAAAAGAAGCCUCGGCUAACUCCGUGCCAGCCGCCGCCGUAACAC
rnacentral:rRNA from 1 species